rnacentral:lncRNA from 1 species
CUCAAUAAAUAAGUACUACGAUUAUCCUCGCAUCAACAAAAUAAGCAAGCAAUGAUCUUCUCAGUUGACUACUUUCGUGCCUACUUUUACAAAUCAGAAUGCAAAAACUUCACUACAAAUGCCUCAAUUGACACCAAAUUAAACCCAAAUUUUACAUUAAAAACCAAGAACCUAAAGAAAAUAUGAAAAAACACAUGAUAAGGAGGCCUCUACUGGGAUACGAUCAUACCCAAAUCCUCCAUUUAAUUCAUCAUUCUAAUCAACGCUUUUCGUCAUCACAUUCCCUGCUCAUCUCCAAUUAACACAUCAUUCUUCCCAUGUCUAUGUGAAUUGGCUAAAUUUUCCCAAAUAGCUUGAAGUUUUGCAUCAUGAGAGGAUAGCAGUUGUGGCUUGAAUCCAUUGAAUUCUUGACAUAACUGAAGUUGUAGGAAAAUUCUUGUUCAUUAAAACGCCACUACCAUUUACCAAAAUUCUUCCAGAAUCUGUAUUUCAAUUGAUGUUCAUCCUCCAUCCUCAAGUACUCUAAUAUCAGCAUGGUGAUGCACCACAAUUCCAUUCGACUUUUUUCUACAAUCGUUCGAGCUCUUCGCUGCGCCAUGGCACGUCCGCCAUUGAAUACACCACCAUCCCAUCAUUCACCUAAAUAUUUUGAGUAAUCUUCCUUAACCCAUAUUUUCAACGUUGUUUCCGUACAAAAAACUCGUCUUUGAAGUUGGUCCUUCGUAAGAUGGGUUUCGCAUCACGGUAUUUGUAGAUUGUUUUGAUCUACGCGUGAGAUGAAUUUUAAGAAAUGAUGCGGUGGUUUGGAGAUUCAAUUGUUCUGGAGUGAAGAUGAAGGGGAUUGAGAAGGGAAUAAGAU